ACAGAGACAGAAACAUAGGGCAGAAAAUUAGGUGACAGUUCAAAAAGAACGGAAAGAACGGAAAGAACCUCCACAGAGACUGAAACACGGGGCAGGAAAUUAGGUGACAGUUCAAAAACAACAAAAGGAACGGAAAGAACGGAAAGAACCUCCACAGAGACAGAAACAUAGAACAGAAAAUUAGGUGACAGUUCAAAAACAACAACAGAAAGAACGGAAAGAACGGAAAGAACCUCCACAGAGACAGAAACAUAGGGCAGAAAAUUAGGUGACAGGUCAAAAACAACAAAAAGAACGGAAAGAACGGAAAGAACGGAAAGAACGGAAAGAACGGAAAGAACGGAAAGAACGGAAAGAACCUCCACAGAGACAGAAACAUUGGGCAGAAAAUUAGGUGACAGUUCAAAAAGAACGGAAAGAACGGAAAGAACCUCCACAGAGACUGAAACACGGGGCAGGAAAUUAGGUGACAGUUCGGAAAGAACAGAAAGAACCUCCACAGAGACAGAAACAUAGGGCAGAAAAUUAGGUGACAGUUCAAAAACAACAACAGAAAGAACGGAAUGAACGGAAAGAACGGAAAGAAACUCCACAGAGACAGAAACAUAGGGCAGAAAAUUAGGAGACAGUUCAAAAACAACAAAAGGAACGGAGAGAACGGAGAGAACGGAGAGAACCUCCACAGAGACAGAAACAUAGGGCAGAAAAUUAGGUUACAGUUCUAAAACAACAACAGAAAGAACGGAAAGAACGGAAAGAACCUCCACAGAGACAGAAACAUAGGGCAGAAAAUUAGGUGACAGUUCAAAAACAACAACAGAAAGAACGGAAAGAACGGAAAGAACCUCCACAGAGACAGAAACAUAGGGCAUAAAAUUAGGUGACAGUUCAAAAACAACAAUAGAAAGAACGGAAAGAACCUCCACAGAGACAGAAACAUAGGGCAGAAAAUUAGGUGACAGGUCAAAAACAACAAAAAGAACGGAAAGAACGGAAAGAACGGAAAGAACGGAAAGAACCUCCACAGUGACAGAAAUAUAGGGCAGAAAACUAGGUGACAGUUCAAAAAAAACGGAAAGAAAGGAAAAAAAAAAAAGAACGGAAAGAACCUCCACAGAGACAGAAACACGGGGCAGAAAAUUAGGUGACAGUUCGGAAAGAACGGAAAGAACCUCCACAGAGACAGAAACAUAGGGCAGAAAAUUUGGUGACAGUUCAAAAACAACAACAGAAAGAACGGAAAGAACGGAAAGAAACUCCACAGAGACAGAAACAUAGGGCAGAAAAUUAGGAGACAGUUCAAAAACAACAAAAGGAACGGAAAGAACGGAGAGAACGGAGAGAACGGAGAGAACCUCCACAGAGACAGAAACUUAGGGCAGAAAAUUAGGUGACAGUUCAAAAACAACAACAGAAAGAACGGAAAGAACGGAAAGAACCUCCACAGAGACAGAAACAUAGAGCAGAAAAUUAGGUGACAGUUCAAAAACAACAACAGAAAGAACGGAAAGAACGGAAAGAACCUCCACAGAGACAGAAACAUAGGGCAGAAAAUUAGGUGACAGUUCAAAAACAGCAACGCAAAGAACGCAAAGAACGCAAAGAACGCAAAGAACGCAAAGAACGCAAAGAACGCAAAGAACGCAAAGAACGCAAAGAACGCAAAGAACGCAAAGAACGCAAAGAACGCAAAGAACGCAAAGAACGCAAAGAACGCAAAGAACGCAAAAGAACGCAAAGAACGCAAAGAACGCAAAGAACGCAAAGAACGCAAAGAACGCAAAGAAACUCCACAGAGACAGAACAUAGGGCAGAAAAUUAGGAGACAGUUCAAAAACAACAAAAGGAACGGAAAAGAACGGAAAGAACCUCACAGAGACAGAAACAUAGAACAGAAAAUUAG
ensembl:lncRNA